UGCCCUGUUGUGUAAUGGUAGCACACCGCCCUUUGGAGGCGAGAGUCAUGGUUCGAAUCCAUGCGGGGCAG
rfam:Candidatus Omnitrophica bacterium CG1_02_49_16 cg1_0.2_scaffold_2171_c, whole genome shotgun sequence.